rnacentral:rRNA from 1 species
GUGCCAGCAGCCGCGGUAAGACGAACCGUGCGAACGUUGUUCGGAAUCACUGGGCUUAAAGGGCGCGUAGGCGGGCCUCCAAGUCCGGGGUGAAAUCCUCCAGCCUAACUGGAGAAGAGCCUCGGAGACUGGGGGCCUCGAGGGAGGUAGGGGCGUGCGGAACUAUGGGUGGAGCGGUGAAAUGCAUUGAUAUCCAUAGGAACUCCGGUGGCGAAGGCGGCACGCUGGACCUCUUCUGACGCUGAGGCGCGAAAGCCAGGGGAGCAAACGGGAUUAGAUACCCCAGUAGUCC